rnacentral:misc_RNA from 1 species
AUUUAUUUAAAAUCAAAGAGCAGGGUUAUCAGCCAAUUACACAUUUAUCCAGUCCCACAACCCAAAUUCUCAGAAUCCUUCCACCCCAUCAGGAAAUCCAAGAUAACAAUCACCUCACCCAAUCACAUUAUUCCACGUGUCCAUAAUCCAACCCAUCACCAUCACCUACUUGUACAUGGGAAAUUUUGUACCUUAUUUCCAUUAUGAGGUCAAUUGAUCAAAGUCUUGUCUAGAAAAAAGUUUGCACUUUUCUCUCAGCUUUUCCUUCCUCUCUACUUCAGACUGGAGACUAAACUUGGCCAAAUUAGAGAGAGAGAGCAAGCAGAAAAUGUGCAGCAAGAAUAGCCCUAUCAGGCCAAGAAAACCAGCAAAAAAAGCUACAGUUUCUCCAAAGAAAUCAGCAAGAAAAACAAGAACCAAAACAAGAAAACCAAAAUAUCUUUCUCUGAAACUUCAGUUAUCUCCCCACAAGAAAACACAAACCCCACCAAAACCCACCAAAAUGCCCCAUAAACAACAGCUGAAUCUCUUCCCUCUCCAUCCAGAAAACCUUGUACACGAUAAAGACUUCCACGACGUCGAUCAAGUCUCCGAUCAUGUCGCUUUUCUCUUCGAUACAGCCACCGACACUUCCACCUCUCUCCACGGCAUUCUUGACUCAACCACCACCACCACGACCCCAACCACCACAGCCACAACCACCUCGGAGGAGGGUCCGCUAUCUCCUUCGCUAACUUAUGUAUAUAGAGGACAUGACAGCGAAGAAAGGUGUAGUGGGAUGGUCAGCUCGCUUGUAAAGGCGGCGAUGAAGUGCAAAGAAAGGGAAGCUAGUGGAGAGAGAUGGGUGAGUUACUGGGAGGUGGUGGAGAAGAAAGAGCAAGAGGAAGUGAGUAGUUGUUGUGCUGCUGCUGAUACCUUGGAGAAGAUGGUGCAGGCGCAAGGAGAAUACAAGAAAGGGUUAGUGGGUUUGAAGCUUGAUUAUCAAGGGAUCAUGAAUGCUUGGUCUGAUAAGGGCCCACUUUACAUAAAAGGAGAAGAAUCCCCACAAACUGUACCCGACUUGCAUGAAGGUUCCAACGUAAUAUUUUUAAUUUCCUCUAAUGAUUAUUCCACCUGUUCUAUUAAUUUCUAUUGAUCUAGGCAACACGUGAUGUAUCUGUGUUUAAUUUUGUACAUGACAAACACACGCGCUACCAAAAUGAGAAACGCGCCGCUACACCGAUGGAAAGAUAGUGCGGUGGUUUGGCUUAUUAAAUAGUAGGGGCCACAAAGCACUUUUUAGCUUUUUGUGGGACCCAAUACAACCUUUUUAGCCAGCUGGGGUUUGGCCCAAUUGAACAAGUUGUGUGUGUGUGUUUAAUCAUAAAUAGGACACUGCUAGUGCGAGCAGUGAUGUCGUUUUGGAUUGAAACGGCGAUGAAUUUUGAUUGAGAUUGGAAAUUGGUAUAUUUUUGGCAGUGGUUAGUGGAAGGAUGGACAGUGCCAGAUAUAAAGAGCAGGGAGAAAUUAGGGCAAAGAGAAGCUAGUGUGUUGAGAUACAAGGAGAAGAGGCAAACCAGACUCUUCGCCAAGCGAAUUCGAUAUCAAGUUCGAAAACUUAAUGCAGAGAAGCGUCCUCGUUUGAAGGGUCGAUUCGUGAAGAGAAAUGGAGAGGAGUAGGUUAACUAUGCACAAUAUUAUAUUAUAAGUUGCUUGCUGCCAAGAAGAGCAUGGUCUGUAGAUUAUUUAAAUUCCUUUGUUAUAUGUUAGAAGGUCAGGCUGCUGGAUGCAAAGUCAUUAUAAGAACCAAAGAGGACCCAAAAGAGAUGAACAAAGCUGUAAUAAUAUUGGCUGAAGGUUGAAACUGGUAAGAAAAUGCCAUGUUUCGAAAUAAUUUCUUUUAUUUUUUAUUGAUAAAACUCCUAUUAUAUUUCUACAGUUUUAAACAAUACCUCAGUAGGUUUUAAAUAUGAUAUUCCCCCUGUUUUUAUAUUAAGUGCAUAAUUUAACAACCAAAUGAUCUCUUAAUACUUGUUCCUUAUGCUUGCAUAUGUAAAUACUCCCUCUGUUCAUUGUAUAUAUAAAAUACUCUAUUUUUUUAUUUUUAUCUAUCGCAUUUAAGUUUUGUACGGUG